CCUACGGGGGGCAGCAGUGGGGAAUAUUGCACAAUGGGGGAAACCCUGAUGCAGCGACGCCGCGUGAGUGAGGAAGUAUUUCGGUAUGUAAAGCUCUAUCAGCAGGGAAGAAAAUGACGGUACCUGACUAAGAAGCCCCGGCUAACUACGUGCCAGCAGCCGCGGUAAUACGUAGGGGGCAAGCGUUAUCCGGAUUUACUGGGUGUAAAGGGAGCGUAGACGGUUAAUCAAGUCAGAAGUGAAAACCCAGGGCUCAACCUUGGGACUGCUUUUGAAACUGAGUAGCUAGAGUGCUGGAGAGGUAAGCGGAAUUCCUAGUGUAGCGGUGAAAUGCGUAGAUAUUAGGAGGAACACCAGUGGCGAAGGCGACUUACUGGACUGUAACUGACGUUGAGGCUCGAAAGCGUGGGGAGCAAACAGGAUUAGAUACCCCAGUAGC
rnacentral:rRNA from 1 species